GGGUGAGUAACACGUAGGUAAUCUACCUUCGGGCGGGGAAUAACAACCGGAAACGGUUGCUAAUACCGCAUAAUGCAGCGGCACCUAAUGGUGACAGUUGUUAAAGCGGGGGAUCGCAAGACCUCGCACCUGAAGAGGAGCCUGCGGCGGAUUAGCUAGUUGGUAGGGUAAUGGCCUACCAAGGCGACGAUCCGUAGCCGGCCUGAGAGGGCGGUCGGCCACACUGACACUGACAUACGGGUCAGACUCCUACGGGAGGCAGCAGUCGGGAAUUUUGGGCAAUGGGCGAAAGCCUGACCCAGCAACGCCGCGUGAAGGAUGAAAUCCCUCGGGAUGUAAACUUCGCAAGAACGGGAAGAAUAAGUCUAAGCCAAUAACUUAGGCGAUGACGGUACCGUUUGUAAGCUCCGGCUAACUCCGUGCCAGCAGCCGCGGUAAUACGGGGGGAGCAAGCGUUGUUCGGAUUUACUGGGCGUAAAGGGCGCGUAGGCGGCCUCCGCAAGUCAAUUGUGAAAUCUCCGGGCUUAACUCGGAAAGGUCAACUGAUACUGCGGGGCUAGAGUGCGGAAGGGGCAACUGGAAUUCUCGGUGUAGCGGUGAAAUGCGUAGAUAUCGAGAGGAACACCUGCGGCGAAGGCGGGUUGCUGGGCCGACACUGACGCUGAGGCGCGAAAGCCAGGGGAGCGAACGGGAUUAGAUACCCCGGUAGUCCUGGCCUUAAACGAUGAAUGCUUGGUGUCUGGGGUUUUAUAGUCCCCGGGCGCCGUCGCUAACGCUUUAAGCAUUCCGCCUGGGGAGUACGGUCGCAAGACUGAAACUCAAAGGAAUUGACGGGGACCCGCACAAGCGGUGGAGCAUGUGGUUUAAUUCGACGCAACGCGAAGAA
rnacentral:rRNA from 1 species